UACGGAGGAUCCAAGCGUUAUCCGGAUUUAUUGGGUUUAAAGGGUGCGUAGGUGGAUUGAUAAGUCAGCGGUGAAAGUUUGCAGCUUAACUGUAAAAUUGCCGUUGAAACUGUCAGUCUUGAGUGCAAAUGAGGUAGGCGGAAUGUGUUGUGUAGCGGUGAAAUGCUUAGAUAUAACACAGAACUCCGAUUGCGAAGGCAGCUUACUGGGAUGCAACUGACACUGAUGCACGAAAGCGUGGGGAUCAAACAGG
rnacentral:rRNA from 1 species